GUAGGGGGCGAGCGUUGUCCGGAUUUAUUGGGCGUAAAGAGCUCGUAGGCGGUUCGGUAAGUCGGAUGUGAAAUCUCCACGCUCAACNGUGGAGGGGCCAUUCGAUACUGCCGUGACUCGAGUCCGGUAGGGGAGUGUGGAAUUCCCGGUGUAGCGGUGAAAUGCGCAGAGAUCGGGAGGAACACCCGUAGCGAAGGCGGCACUCUGGGCCGGUACUGACGCUGAGGAGCGAAAGCGUGGGGAGCGAACAGGAUUAGAUACCCUGGUAGUCCACGCCGUAAACGUUGGGCACUAGGUGUGGGACUCUAUCGACGGGUUCCGUGCCGUAGCUAACGCAUUAAGUGCCCCGCCUGGGGAGUACGGCCGCAAGGCUA
rnacentral:rRNA from 1 species